GCCUGGUCAAUUUUAUUGGUGUCUAAGAAAAAUAAUAGGGGAACCCCCAUCAAUCUUAACAUUUUUUCGGCUAAUUGGAUUAGUUCAAAUCUUGAAUGAAGGUAGCUCAGUAUUUUGAACACUACAUAUACCUUCCUUCAUACCUAGUCAAUACCUUAUCAAAAAUCAUAGUAGGUUUGUUGUGAUAUCCACAAGGCUU
rnacentral:lncRNA from 1 species